GCUACCUGCUCGGGUUGCCUUGCAUGCUGUGGAGGCUUUGUUCUUUUGCUCUUCACAAUAAAUCUUGCUGCUGCUCACUCUUUGGGUCUGCACUACCUUUAUGAGCUGUAACCCUCACCAUGAAGGUCUGCAGUUUAACUCCUGAAGUCAGUGAGACCAUGAACCCACCAGGAGGAAUGAACAACUCCUGACGUGCCACCUUUAAGAGCUGUAACACUCACUGCGAAGGUCUGUGGCUUCACUUCUGAAGUCAGUAAGACCACAAACCCAGCAGAAGGAAGAAACUCCAGACACAUCUGAACUUCAGAAGAAACAACUCUGGACACACCAUCUUUAAGAACUGUAACACUCACCAUGAGGGUCCACAGCUUCAUUCUUGAAGUCAGCAAGACCAAGAACCCACCAGAAGUAACCAAUUCAGGACACAGAUAGGGUGCAGACCUGCAUAGUGAAACUACCCACAGCAAGGAUGUAUGCCUGUGAGUUGGCACAGAAUCGAUGGAUCAGACUUGGCCUUCAACCUCCUGUUAUCCUGAUGAAAUCGCAAGCUCCAAACAACAGAGACACAACAUUGACCAACAGUAAGAUGCUUGAAGAAAUAUUUCUUUCAGGACAAACUCUGUGCAUUCCAUGAAGGUGGAUGGAUGGACUGAUGAGGACAAAGCCAGUGACAUCAUGAGCAGGAAACAAUGUUUCUCUCAAGCUGCAGCUUCAAAAUGUCAAACAGCCUCUUCCUUGGCUGACAACUGCUUUCUGACUCAAUGGGAGACCUUGUUCUCCAACGUCAGGGGCUGUCAGAAACUUUGCUUAUGAGUAAGAAGAACAUCCCACUUCUUGGAGGAUCUACAUCCACCUCUUCACAGAAGCACAGAGCUACAGAGAAGGGGUUUCUGGAUGGAACAUUCCAAAUCUGGCAGGACUUUAUGGGUUCUAAGGACACAAGACCUAGGUCCACUUUGCAGAGCAGAUUUGACACUGGCUCCUUUACACUAAGACCUGCCAUGUUCUGAGUCCAUCACUACAGCCUCAAAAAUCCCUCCCCACAGUCUUAUAAUAUUCUCUUUGCUUUGUUUUUUGAAUCAUCCCAGGUUGGUUGAUGUGAAUUUAUUCCCUUUUUGCUACAAGCCAAUAAUCCUGAGUCUGUCGACUGCAAAAUCAGUUUUGGUGACUGAAUGCACUAGGAUAUAUAUUAUUUUUCUGGAAUUUGAGAUGAUUGUAGUAUUUAUUAGGACUUUAAGAUGAGUAACUUGUUGUGACUUAUUUCCUCUUCUUAAAUAAACACUAACUUUUGUGCUUAGUUUCUGAUUGGUUAUAUUAUGCUAUUUUUCAUGCAGAUAACCCUGUGUAUUAUGUAAGCCUUAGACCUCACGGAACCUGGGUUGUCUGUGGUCAUAGUGCAGAGAAUCCCCCUGCCCAGGGAAUGACUGCACUGGUCCCUGCUUCCCAGGCCUCCAAUGGACUUAUCCCUCCUUUCAGAGUGAUUUGUUUAUGCUGAAGGUGGAGUUUCUAACUUCAGCGGUUUUAGUCUUUUAGCAAGAAUUUGUGACAUUAUUUUUGCUAAAGGAACUCUUAGAAGGGGUGCAAUAUUUUCAAAACAUGACCCUCAUGAGACUUCUUUACUCCAAAGACCCAGUAGCUUUCUGGACAGGGCCCAGACCCUCAGCUUGUUCCAGAAGAGAAAGACCCACAUGCUCACCUUCAAGCUUCCCUGCCCCCAGCUCCCCUCCUAGGGAACAGACACACAGGCAGAUGGUGGAGGGAGCCCUCUACAGAGCCAGACUUCCCCCUCCACUUUCCCAGGAAGAGAGAUGUCAGAAAAGUUACUGGUUUACAGAAAAUCACCUGUUCCUUGUGUCCUUGGAUGGUGGUUGCUUAUGUCAAGACAGACCCUUCCCCAGGUAAAGAACCAUGAGGAUCUCCAUGCAGGGAAGACUUCACCCCUAACCACCAUUCCCGGGCACCUGCUGUUCUGCUCUCAGCCCCUCUCUUCCAACAGAAGCCUAAAUCAGUGUGUGUGACCCCCUACCACCUGACACUGGGUGAGGCCCAGACUCAAAUCUCCUCAGCUCAUGGCCUCCUGGGUGCUGCUUCACUUUCUUCAAUCCAAAACCUUGGUUAAAUCCCGUGAGGGUGGAGAGGAAAUGAAGCACAUGCUCCCCACUCUCCCUGCUAGACCAUUCUCCUCCUGGCUUUCUAUGUGUGGCACAUGGGGUGCUGGCCUCAGGGCUGUUUUGGCAGUUUCCCCUUUGUCUUUUCCCCCUCGGUGUUCAUGGCAGCCACCCUUGGUCAACACAGUUCUAGGUAUGGAAGAUAGUUGAGAGCCCUUCCCAGAGGCACCUGCCCUGAGGGCUGCACCCCCUGCCCUGAAAUGGCAAAGGGAAGGGCCUUGCAGGGUGGGCUGGGUCUUAGGACUGUAGCUUCUUCUUUGGAGCACAACUACCCACUAUUCUAGAGAAUGGUUUUGACACUAAGGUGAUGUUAUUUAUUAAUUAAAACAUCCUUUGUG